CCUACGGGUAGGCAGCAGUGGGGAAUAUUGCACAAUGGGCGCAAGCCUGAUGCAGCCAUGCCGCGUGUAUGAAGAAGGCCUUCGGGUUGUAAAGUACUUUCAGCGGGGAGGAAGGUGUUGUGGUUAAUAACCACAGCAAUUGACGUUACCCGCAGAAGAAGCACCGGCUAACUCCGUGCCAGCAGCCGCGGUAAU
rnacentral:rRNA from 1 species